rnacentral:rRNA from 1 species
UACACGACUCUCGGCAAUGGAUAUCUCGGCUCUCGCAUCGAUGAAGAGCGCAGCGAAAUGCGAUACUU